UUUUAAUCUGCCGGUGACUGGUAUGUAGCCUAUGCUUGCUCGAGCAUGCUAUUACUUUUGUUUACCUUGCUCAAUUCAAUGCUGAUCCGCCUUUGGUUGCUUUUUUUUUUUAAAGUGUAUCCACUGUUUGGUUUUCCUUCGGUCUUGCCCAGCUGUGCAUUUUGUGUGCGGUGGUUUCUGAACGUUCUCUUGGCGUCUGUUACUAAGUGCAGAUGACUCAUGGAAUUCUGUGAGCCUCGCUGGGAUUAGGCGAGAAGUUUUGGACCGUGUGGUAUGUGCCCCUCCCCUUGAAUUCCUACUACUGAGUUUAUUAAGUGUGGUGUUAAUUGAGUAUUUUGCGUGUUCUUUAGGUGUUGCUGGUUUUGGUCCGGGUUUGCUGCUGUUCUUGCCAGCGCGUUUCUAUCGAGGGCUGCUUUAUUUAUUUUUAUUUUUUUGAUUGGUGCAGCUGCCUGCAUGAGGAGGGCUGCGAAACCACCACAGCACUUUAACAUUAGUUUUAACUUUUGGUGUGUGACUGUUUGUGUGUCUGACCAUUAUUCAUCAAUAAUCAGUGUAUGUGUGCUUGGGAGUGUGGUGUGAGGGAUAUUUUCUUUUCUGUUAAAUUGGGUAUUUUUUUAUUUAUUUGUUUUAGUCCUGCUCAGGUUUCACCUACUGGCAGGAGGCUCUUUUUCUAUAGCUGUGGAUAGCCAGUGGGCGAUCUUAUUGGGCCUGAUUUAUGUUAAUGCUUUUUCUUUAUUUCUUAUCUAUUUAUUUGGUUUAAUGCUCGCAAGAGCUUAUUUUAUGUGAAUUUGUGUGCGGCUAGCAACCACGUCUGCCAACUCUUUCUGCCGUGGCAAGCAGCCUGUUGUUGUCAGCUGUAUGCCAGUACUGGUGGGAGGCUAUUGCAAGCUGUGGAUCAUCAGUGGUCCACGUAGUUUCCCUCCCUUAGUUUAUAUCGUGUGUGGUUGUGUGUUUUAAUUGGUUAGUUUGUUGUGAUCAAGCUGUAUGUUGUUUCUUUGGGUUUUUUUCUUGUACCGCUUUUCUGUUUAUUUACUUUUCAGGUACUGUGUGCUGAAGGCGGGGUGGCAGCUGAUCCCUUAGGUGGUGGUGUUCCCCUAUUUUCCGUGUGUGUGUUCACGUGUGCCUGCGUGGAAUCCUCCUUUUGUUGUGCUUUUGAUUUAUUUCGCUUUGUUUGCAGUGAGUGUGACACGUAUGCUUGUAAGGUGUGCCUCCUUGGAUUCCUCCUUCGUCUCUUGGUAUCUUGCCCCCUGCUGGUAGGCCUCACCCCUGUUAAUAUUGAUUUCUCCCUUAUCCCUGCCCCACAUACAUGUCAGUCAAAUCUUUGGAUUGUGAGUGUGAAUGAAAGUGAUUGUUUGUGAAGUAAAGGAAAGAACUUUUUUGUAAGCAUUGUACUAAAAUAAAAUAACCUUUUUGUAUUUUCAUAACUUUAGUCUCUGGUGUCUUUAGUCAAACGAACCUUGCGUGUCAACAUUGUGAAGUGUUUUCUGGUUAAUAUUCCUGGGGUGAAAGUCCCCUGGUGGCGUAGUCAGUAAUUGCUCUUCUGUUUAAGGUCAAAUUUAGUCAACACUUGCUUUUCUGCCCAAGGCCACAUGAGUGUGAAUGGUUGUUUCUGUGUCAGCCCUGUGAUGACCUGGUGACUUGUCCAGGGUGUACCCUGCCCCUCACCCAUAGUCAGCUGGGAUAGGCUCCAGCUUGCCUGAGACCCUGCACAGGAUAAGCGGCUACAGAUAAUGGAUACAGACAUAUUGAUUAUGAAUGGAUGGUUGAGUUUCCUGUGUUUUGAAUGGGAAAACUGAGAAGAGUUCUGAUUAUUCCAGGACUUUAUGGUGUGUUAGAUUAAACACUGAUGAGAAAAAUAAUAAAACCACCAGUGAAGUGUCCCCUAAAUGUGUUUUUAUCCUGCUGACUGCAUUUCCUGGACUAAACCGUUCUCAUGAAGACCUCGAAAUAAAAAGAAUCCACAAGAGCUCUGACCCAGAUAAAACGUACCACAGAGAUGAAAAGAUUAAAAUAAGCGUGUUUGAGCUUUUCCUGUAUAGUUCAUUUAAGCAAUGUGAAUCCUUUAUCAAAUCAGUCAGCAAUAACUGAGAUUGUUUGAACUUGUUAGUAAUGCACUGAGCAAACAAGGUUUUUUGGUUUUGUUUUUAAUUUGUCACAUAGAUCAUAGUUUGUGACAGGGCAAGAAUACAGGGCAAGGCCCCAAUUGAUUUUCAACCCCUUUGCUUUGGCAUAGACUUUUUUACACUGGAUGCCCUUCCAGAUGCAAUUCCCCCCCCCCCCCCCCCCCCCAAAUCUUUCUGGGCUUGGACCGGCACCAAGUAUGCACCAGCUUGUGCAAGCCCAGUGGCUGGGUAUUUUUACCUAAUCUGCAUGUCUUUUGAACCGUGGGGAAACCAGAGCACACCCACACACGUACGUGGAGAGCAUGCAAACUCCACACAGAAAGGCCCCUGUCGGCCAUGAGAUUCAAACCCAGAACCUUCUUGCUGUGAGGCAAUAGUGGAAGUUCAACACUGAACUGGACUCCUGUCUUGAUCCUGACGUUUGUCCAUCCUCAGCUAAACGUUACAUCACCUCACUUCAGCCCGACAUGGCUCGCGUUUCGACUACCAAAAACCAGCACGACUCAGCUCGCUUCAGCCCUGCUUAGCCCCUAAAACUCGCACCGUUUUGGAGUGGGGCUGAAGCGAGCCAAAGCGAGCCGACUGAGGCUGGGGGCGUGAGGAGACACUCCCCUGUGCACUGAUUGGUGAGGAGGAGUGUCCUCACAUGCCCACACACGCCCCGCGAGCGCGCUGGGAUCUGUAAACACCACAAACCCGGAAGAAGAAGAAUUACGAGAAUUUCUGAAGCCUUAUGCGCCUCGCCUCAUCUAUACGCUCUUGCCAGUAUCUGUCCGCGUUGUCGGUGACAACAAGCCACAGCACCAAGACCAGCAACACUAACGACUCCAUGUCCUCCAUGUUUAUUGUUUACUAUUCGGGUCAUGAGACUACCGCUUAAAAGCUCACUGAUGUCACUGUUUGCGCUGCUUAACGACAUCACGUGACGUCCACCCACUUUCGCUAACUCCACCCAGUGUGUCCACCCACUUCCAGCCAGCACGGUUCAGCGCGGUUGUAGUCGAAAUGCAACUCCAACAGCCCCGCUCAGCUCGACUCAGCACGGCACGGCUCAGCCCAACUCAGCCACGUUUGUAGUGGAAAAGCGGCAUAAGAAAAAAAAUGGUGAGAACAUCAGAUGCAGAGAGUAUUCAAGACUUCACAGGCAGUUUUCAUUUCCUCUGUGAGUCCUGUAUUGUGCUGGAGAACCUAAUGCACCAUCCCUCCAUUUUCCAUUAUCCACAAAUCAAUAUAAUGACCAUAUCAAAUGCUUUUAGGAUCUAAAAAGCCUGUGUGACUGAAAGCAAUAAAAACCCACCAUGCACCAGAAUAGCCGGAGGAACACAAAACUAUAGCUGGUGAAUAUUACCAAGAAAACUAGUUAGCAAAACUAGAGGGCAGAUUUAGCUGGGGAAGCUAUGGCAUAAAGGUUAGAGAUGGAACCAUUGGCCCAAAUGGUUGCUGGUUCAAUUCCCUGGAUUGGCAAAAAAAAUCCAUGGCUGAAUGCCCUUGCGCAAGGCACCUAACCCCCAACUGCUCCCCAGGUUGUGUGCGCGUGCGCUCAUUGUACGUUACUCUGGAUAAGAGCGUCUGCUAAAUGCCUGUAAUGGAGAGAGAAUUGUAUGGAGGGUGUAGGACUGAAGGGAGUCUUUUAGUGACUCAGGCUACAUCCACACGACAACGGCAACGAGAAUUUAUUUAAAAAAAUAUCGCGUCCACAUGGGCAACGGAUCAGUAAAAUAUCAGGUACAUAUGGCAACGCAACGCUUGCUGAAAAUGAUGCAAUACACUUGCCA